CGGAUGCGUUUGCCGGAGGUGAACAUGGAGUCUUAGCUUUAGAGCUUGUACUGUAUAUGCUCUGUACGGCCCGAAUGCGCAGUGCACGCUCUAUUUUUAUAAUCCAGAUAGUAUACAGAUCAGUGUAUACACCGUAUACACGUUUUUGCAUGUUUACAUACCACGGCAAUGGUUGUUUGUAAAUACAAGUGCGCUACGAAUAACGAAUUUCUAGAAAGCCGAAGUUAGGCCACUUCUGUUGGUUUUCUGUAUCUUGCGUGAAUAUAAACUGCUAUAAGUUGUAUUCCAGCGAAUCAGGCAAACGGUACAUUUUGCGGGUAUCUUCUACCUGAGGCCAAAGACUAUGGAAUCUAAGGCUAACAAACCGUAGAAAAUAAGUUGUCGUUGGAUGAAAAAAACACCUAAAGAAAAUGGAAUUGGCAGGCUUUAGGGAGUGCGAGGAUGUUCUUGGAUUUACUAAUCAGACUGCAGUCCUGCUGAGUGGAAUGGGAGCUAAAGAACUUGUACCGCAAUUUAGGGAGAGAAAUAUAUCGACUGAAAUGUGCAAGCCAUGAACUUGCUCAUCGUAUGCUCAAGCAGUUGUCUCCAAUAUUGAGGCGUACCAGUUUAACGGUGUUAACACCGCAACAAAAGUUAGACCAGCUAUUAGAAUCUCUGGAAAAUAAUGGUAAACAUUUAUCACUCAUCAACGCGUUUGUUACGUAUACCAGAUUGCGUCUUAACAAGGAAAAAAUGGAUUCUUUCAUAGAAAUAAACGGUAAUCUGCGCAGUAGCCAAGCUUUGGAAUUGGCAGUUGCAGCAACUAUUUCUGAGAUCGAAGAAGCUCGAUCGGCUCUGCAAGAACUGAAAUUGUCUCUAGAGGACGGAGGCACCUCAAGGAGCACCACUUUUUAUUUUGCUACGGUCAGCGGGUUGGGACUGUUGACUUGGAUGUUGUUUAAAACUCGUUUCUAAGUUUUGUACCUACUUGAAACUAUCCAUUUCUACUUUUGUCAUAAAACUAUAGCACAAACAAAUAGUUGCAUUACUGUAAAA
rnacentral:misc_RNA from 1 species